CAGCCGCCGCGGUAACACCAGCCCCUCGAGUGGUGGGGAUGAUUAUUUGGCCUAAAGCGUCCGUAGCUUGCCAGAUAAGUUUCCCGUUAAAUCCGACGUCUCAAGCAUUGGACUGCGGGAAAUACUGUCUGGCUAGAGAGUGGGAGAGGUUAGCGGUAUACUGGGGGUAGGGGCGAAAUCCUUUGAUCCCCGGAGGACCACCAGUGGCGAAGGCUGCUGACUAGAACACGUCUGACGGUCAGGGACGAAAGCUGGGGUAGCGAACCGGAUUAGAUACCCGGGUAGUCCCAGCCGUAAACGAUGCAUGCUAGGUGUUGGGUUGGCCACGAGCCACCCCAGUGCCGCAGGGAAGCCGUUAAGCAUGCCGCCUGGGAGGUACGAUCGCAAGAUUGAAACUUAAAGGAAUUGGCGGGGGAGCAC
rnacentral:rRNA from 2 species